rnacentral:rRNA from 1 species
CCUACGGGAGGCAGCAGUGAGGAAUAUUGGUCAAUGGACGAGAGUCUGAACCAGCCAAGUAGCGUGAAGGAUGACUGCCCUAUGGGUUGUAAACUUCUUUUAUAUGGGAAUAAAAUGUUCCACGUGUGGGAUUUUGUAUGUACCAUAUGUAUAAGGAUCGGCUAACUACGUGCCAGCAGCCGCGGUAAUACGGAGGAUCCGAGCGUUAUCCGGAUUUAUUGGGUUUAAAGGGAGCGUAGGUGGAUUGUUAAGUCAGUUGUGAAAGUUUGCGGCUCAACCGUAAAAUUGCAGUUGAAACUGGCAGUCUUGAGUACAGUAGAGGUGGGCGGAAUUCGAGGUGUAGCGGUGAAAUGCUUAGAUAUCACGAAGAACGCCGAUUGCGAAGGCAGCUCACUGGACUGCAACUGACACUGAGGCUCGAAAGUGUGGGUAGCAAACAGGAUUAGAUACCCGUGUAGUC